ACGCUGGCGGCGUGCCUAAUACAUGCAAGUAGAACGCUGAAGAGAGGAGCUUGCUCUUCUUGGAUGAGUUGCGAACGGGUGAGUAACGCGUAGGUAACCUGCCUUGUAGCGGGGGAUAACUAUUGGAAACGAUAGCUAAUACCGCAUAACAAUGGAUGACACAUGUCAUUUAUUUGAAAGGGGCAAUUGCUCCACUACAAGAUGGACCUGCGUUGUAUUAGCUAGUAGGUGAGGUAACGGCUCACCUAGGCGACGAUGCAUAGCCGACCUGAGAGGGUGAUCGGCCACACUGGGACUGAGACACGGCCCAGACUCCUACGGGAGGCAGCAGUAGGGAAUCUUCGGCAAUGGGGGCAACCCUGACCGAGCAACGCCGCGUGAGUGAAGAAGGUUUUCGGAUCGUAAAGCUCUGUUGUAAGUCAAGAACGAGUGUGAGAGUGGAAAGUUCACACUGUGACGGUAGCUUACCAGAAAGGGACGGCUAACUACGUGCCAGCAGCCGCGGUAAUACGUAGGUCCCGAGCGUUGUCCGGAUUUAUUGGGCGUAAAGCGAGCGCAGGCGGUUUGAUAAGUCUGAAGUUAAAGGCUGUGGCUCAACCAUAGUUCGCUUUGGAAACUGUCAAACUUGAGUGCAGAAGGGGAGAGUGGAAUUCCAUGUGUAGCGGUGAAAUGCGUGGAUAUAUGGAGGAACACCGGUGGCGAAAGCGGCUCUCUGGUCUGUAACUGACGCUGAGGCUCGAAAGCGUGGGGAGCGAACAGGAUUAGAUACCCUGGUAGUCCACGCCGUAAACGAUGAGUGCUAGGUGUUGGAUCCUUUCCGGGAUUCAGUGCCGCAGCUAACGCAUUAAGCACUCCGCCUGGGGAGUACGACCGCAAGGUUGAAACUCAAAGGAAUUGACGGGGGCCCGCACAAGCGGUGG
rnacentral:rRNA from 1 species